GUGCAGUGGCAGAUGGGUGAAGCAUUCUAUUCGCGUUGGCAAUACAUCCUUCAGCGGGCUUUGAUGGUGAUUGGCGAACAUUGAUCUCCUUGUCUGCUUCUAGUUUCUAAAGAAGGAUGCAGCUGACCGACCCUGUUUGUCAUCUAUAAUUCGCUAAUAAUAAAAUGAAAAGAUCGCACCUCCUUUAGUGUCACAAAAUUUAUAUUAGUCCAUGUACUUUUAAACUCGUCAGUUAAACCCUUGUACUUCGAGCAACUGUUUUUCAGACCCAUGUAUGUUGAGAAAUACCCAUGAAGGUACUUGUAUCCAUCAGUUAUUAUA